CUCCCCCUCCUCCUUCCAGUUGCUCUCUGGCCUUCAUAUACUUCCAAGGAGUGGUGCUCCUCUCCAAAUGAUGAUUCAGGUCAUCCUCUCUGAUAUACGGGCAUAAGAAAACCAGUCUCCAUCUUCUGAAGAGUGAACAGAAAGAGGAAUGUCGUGACACCCUGCUGGUUGGUGACCAAUGGCUCCCUCUGACUCCCUGUGGCAUCUUCCUCUCUUAAUUUCUUCUAUGAGACACACAAACUGUGCCUGAGCCCAGACUCUCUUCUUCCCUCAGUGGUCUCCACACCUGUUAUCACCACCACAGAAAUAAA